CGCGCUGUGAUGGAAGAGAGGGAGGAAAGACGGAGUCGUCUAUGUCUACUUCAUGUCUACAGGUUCCGGUCCUCUUGGAGAACUCUGUAGACAGGGGACCCACACCGUGCCCCGAGCCGCCGCUGAACCCCAUUUGCUGGCCCUAUCCCGUCUCUGAUGCUCCACCAUCCUGCUCUCCACCACCCUUCCGUUCCAAGAGGGCUCUGCAUCCUUUGUACAUACUCUUGCUAUCAGCCAGCUCAAGCUGGUUGCUGGCACCUGUAGCCCAAGGGUUUCAUCUAACACAUGCUCAGAACUUCCACUUCAGCACCGGCCUCUCUCCUGGGGGUCUGCCCUUCAGGAAACUGCCAGAGACCUAAGAGGUGUGAAUGAGCCUGCUGACAUUAAACUCAGGAGCCAA